CCUCAAGGAAAUCCGAUUAGGCACGUCAUUGCGGGUCGAAAGUUUGCACGGAGUCCUCAAAAGAAGGCAAAAGAAAGGGGGAACGCAUCUAAACUAUUAACAAUUUUGUUCGUGUGUCUCUGUGCCCUUCAUCCAAUGCAGGCACACGCUGUCUUUUAGCAGCAAAGUUCAAGCCAGUACCAGUAAUCAGAGAGGACACAAGAUUUCCCUAUUCCGACAAUUCAAUUCAUAAAGAUGCUGUUGAAUCUACUCCCACCAUGCCAAAAGAACCUGGAGAUGGAGCUGCUCGUAGGCGCAUACCAAGAAGGGAUAUCAAAGAAAUCGAUAAAUCCGAAGUAUCGA